AAUAUUUUAUAUUCAUAUUUACCUCUUAGUCUGGUACAGUACCAUCGUGUUCAUAUAUCCUAUAAACUUAUUUUAUAUUUUAUUAUUAAUCAAAUAAAUUAUAACUUUGAAUUUUAAGAAGUAACUUUGACAAUGAAGAAUUUUCUCUUAUAUCUUAUGAUUGCGGUGUUUAUUUUCAAUUUGGGAUUUAUUGCUGUUUCUGGGGGGCGAUUCAUGACUGCAAGAAAAAUAAGAAAACUUUACACUAAGAAUAACACUGCUACGACUACCAAUACUGCAACAGGAUAAUUUUGAAAAACAAAAUGUCGUCGUAUUUUCAAAAAUGAAUCUGCAAAAAUGAGAGGUCUUAGUACGAGUUUGUUUUACGUUUAGCGAGUUCGAAAUGAGAGCGCGAUCGGCGCUCUGAUUGGUUCAUCUAUCCGCACUGGCCAAUCAGAGCGCCGGACGCGCUCUCGUUUCGUUUUCGUCUAACGUAAAUCAAAGUCGUACUAAGGGUACUACUGAACGCUUUUUCAAAUUUUGUAUUUUAUGAUAAAUAAAUGUUAAUACAAC